UGCAUUCACUACUGUAAGUCGCUCUUGAUAAGAGCGUCUGCUAAAUGAAUAAAA
rfam:Salmo salar isolate Sally breed double haploid chromosome ssa10, whole genome shotgun sequence.